rnacentral:rRNA from 1 species
GACGAACGCUGGCGGCGUGCUUAACACAUGCAAGUCGAACGGAAGGGCCCUGCUUUUGUGGGGUGCUCGAGUGGCGAACGGGUGAGUAACACGUGAGUAACCUGCCCUUGACUUUGGGAUAACUUCAGGAAACUGGGGCUAAUACCGGAUAGGAGCUCCUGCUGCAUGGUGGGGGUUGGAAAGUGUCGGCGGUUGGGGAUGGACUCGCGGCUUAUCAGCUUGUUGGUGGGGUAGUGGCUUACCAAGGCUUUGACGGGUAGCCGGCCUGAGAGGGUGACCGGCCACAUUGGGACUGAGAUACGGCCCAGACUCCUACGGGAGGCAGCAGUGGGGAAUAUUGCACAAUGGGCGGAAGCCUGAUGCAGCAACGCCGCGUGCGGGAUGACGGCCUUCGGGUUGUAAACCGCUUUCGCCUGUGACGAAGCGUGAGUGACGGUAAUGGGUAAAGAAGCACCGGCUAACUACGUG